rnacentral:lncRNA from 1 species
GUUAAUCCCACUACCCCUGACAUGCUAGACCAAAGGACCUGGACCAUCUGGAUUUCCCUUGAACAUCAUGUUGGUAUGAUGCUAUCUCCCUUAGUCAUCAGGAAGUGGCAAGUACACUGGAGACCUUGGUAGGAUACACAUCCUUCAGAAGUAUCUACUAGAAUGCAGCCACUGUGGAAGCUCUCAACCCGAGGGAUAGAGAAGGGCUCUGCCGGGUGAUGCUGGCCAUGGGGUGCACACAGAGGAGCCUGGGCAGCAAUGGAAGCUCUGUGCCACCUAGGAUCCAGGACCAGUGUGACUCUGCCACUUCUCAGUGUCUACCUACCUGCAAGGAGACCAAGGCUGAGCCCUGUUUGGAGCUACGCCUGGCUGAACACACAGUUGCUUGGUGGAAUGAUGAUGUAGCUGGGCUCUUUCCACCCUGGGAGGGGCAGUGAUUCUGCCUGGAGUUCACACACAUUCUGGCUACAAGGCAGCCCUUCCUCAGAUGUGCAGGAGUCCUUGGCCAUUCACUGGAACUGAAGCGCUGGUCAGCAGAAAGCCCAGAGUGAAUCAAAAGAAAACUGAGACUAUAAGAACUCACGAGAAAGUCAGUUGUGAGGCUGGAUUCACAUCAUUGGAAAAAUGCAGAUAUUCACAGUAAAAAACUUAGGAAUUAUACUUAUAUUAGUCGUGUUUCUCAAGAGAAAAUGAACCAGGAGGAGAUUAGAUAGAUACAUGGACAGAUGGAUGAUGAUAGAGAGAUGAUAGACAGGUAUGUAGAUUAAUUAUAGGAAUUUGCUCCAGUGGUCAUGGAGACUGAGAAGUUCCACAUCUUCCCAUGCAAACUGAACAUCCAGGAAACUCAGUGGGUCAUUCAGGCUUAAGGUUCAGAGUGCUGGUGACGUGACUCCCAGUCUGAAUCCACCACCAUGGACCAGGAGCACCCGCACCUGAGGCCAGAGAAGAUGGAUAUCCCAGCUCACAUUAUUGUAGAUAGCUCCCGGCCAUCUGUCUCCAGCUUGCUGGGGUCCAACCUCCUGCCUUCCAUCAAGCACAGGCAUCAGGAGGACCAGAGGU